rnacentral:rRNA from 1 species
UACGAAGGGGGCUAGCGUUGUUCGGAAUCACUGGGCGUAAAGCGCAUGCAGGCGGAUCAUUAAGUCGGGGGUGAAAUCCCGAGGCUCAACCUCGGAACUGCCUUCGAUACUGGUGAUCUUGAGUCCGGGAGAGGUGAGUGGAACUCCGAGUGUAGAGGUGAAAUUCGUAGAUAUUCGGAAGAACACCAGUGGCGAAGGCGGCUCACUGGCCCGGUACUGACGCUGAGAUGCGAAAGCGUGGGGAGCAAACAGG